rnacentral:rRNA from 1 species
GUAGGUGGCAAGCGUUGUCCGGAAUUAUUGGGCGUAAAGCGCGCGCAGGCGGUUCUUUAAGUCUGAUGUGAAAGCCCACGGCUCAACCGUGGAGGGCCAUUGGAAACUGGAGAACUUGAGUACAGAAGAGGAAAGCGGAAUUCCACGUGUAGCGGUGAAAUGCGUGGAGAUGUGGAGGAACACCAGUGGCGAAGGCGGCUUUCUGGUCUGUAACUGACGCUGAGGCGCGAAAGCGUGGGGAGCAAACAGGGAUUAGAUACCCUGGUAGUCCACGCCGUAAACCGAUGAGUGCUAAGUGUUAGGGGGGUUUCCGCCCCCUUAGUGCUGCAGCUACGCAUUAAGCACUCCGCCUGGGGAGUACGGCCGCAAGGCUG